CCUACGGGCGGCUGCAGUGGGGAAUAUUGCACAAUGGGGGAAACCCUGAUGCAGCAACGCCGCGUGAGUGAAGAAGGUCUUCGGAUCGUAAAGCUCUGUCUUUGGGGACGAUAAUGACGGUACCCAAGGAGGAAGCCACGGCUAACUACGUGCCAGCAGCCGCGGUAAUACGUAGGUGGCAAGCGUUGUCCGGAAUUACUGGGCGUAAAGGAUGCGUAGGCGGAUAUCUAAGUCAGAUGUGAAAUACCCGGGCUCAACUUGGGUGCUGCAUUUGAAACUGGAUAUCUAGAGUGCAGGAGAGGAAAGUGGAAUUCCUAGUGUAGCGGUGAAAUGCGUAGAGAUUAGGAAGAACACCAGUGGCGAAGGCGACUUUCUGGACUGUAACUGACGCUGAGGCAUGAAAGCGUGGGUAGCAAACAGGAUUAGAUACCCCUGUAGUC
rnacentral:rRNA from 1 species